UUCCCAUCACUCAGGUGAGGUCAGCUUAGGUGUGGCCUCCUCCGGAGGACCUCAGCCCAGCCCAGCUUAGCCUGGAGACUAGGUUAGGAGCCGGUUCCCAUCGCCCCUGCAUUGCUGCUCCCAGUCUGUCUGUCCCUCCAGGGGCCGAGGCCCAUUAGCCAGGGGACAGGUAUGGAUUGGGAGGAUCCCGGCUCACGGCACGGAGCAGGAGCUAAAGAAGUGUGUAGGAUGAAUGAACAUUGAGCUUCUGUCUCCCUCCGGGACCUACCUGUUGCUGCUCCGUGCUGCGGGCCCAUGCUGCAUGUUUAUAUUCAUUACCUCACUGCAUCCCCAUGAGAGCUUGCAGGGAGCUACUGUCUGCAUUUUACAGGUGCGGAAGCUCUGUCAAGCGGGCCCUAGCAGCCAGGCUCUAACUAGAAGAGAAGGGCCCUCAGAUAUUUACAGCAGGGGGAUUAGGUGCGGGAAUUGGUUUCCCAGGUCGUGGAGGAGCUGCGAGGUGCUGACUGGUGCAGGCAUUCGAGACGGUGCGAGGCUGCUGCCACCCGAGGCAGGACACCAGGGAGGAGCUGGGGCCUCGUGGGCACAUCCUGCGGAAGCUGGACUCACGGAGGAGACGCCACCCAAGCUGGCAGGAUAGCAAGUGUGCCACACAGCUGUCUCCAGCCUCUGUCUCCACGGCCCCCGGCCCACCCCGCCACCACCCCUGCAAGGGAGCUUGGCUCCUGUCGAGGUCUCCUGUGAUACCAGCCAGCCGUCCCACUGCUGUCCUCAUCUUCCUUUGUGUCCAGCAGCAUCUGGCCCAGAUGUAUGUUCCAUGAGCACCGCUGUUUCUAGUUACAUCUCCAGCACGUCGUGGGCGCUCACUACGGAUCUGUUGAGAGAAUGCAUAAUCUGCUAAGAAAACAGGGUCCCUAAAGAAGCCUGCCAUUUGGUAUGGUUACACAGCCGGGGGCAGCUGAGCCGGCCCAGGUCCCCCACACGGCCUGCCCUGUGUCCACCUUGUCCCAUGGGACUCAGGCCCGAUGGAUGGCUGAGCUGAGAGGGAGGUGGGGGGGCAGCAGGCCUGUGAGCCCCACUGACGUGCCCGGAGACCCUCCCUCCCU
rnacentral:lncRNA from 12 species